UACGUAGGGUGCGAGCGUUGUCCGGAUUUAUUGGGCGUAAAGCGAGCGCAGGCGGUUCCUUAAGUCUGAUGUGAAAGCCCCCGGCUCAACCUGGGAAGGUCAUUGGAAACUGGGGAGCUUGAGUGCAGAAGAGGAGAGUGGAAUUCCAUGUGUAGCGGUGAAAUGCGUAGAUAUAUGGAGGAACACCAGUGGCGAAGGCGACUCUCUGGUCUUUAACUGACGCUCAGGCUCGAAAGCGUGGGGAGCAAACAGG
rnacentral:rRNA from 1 species